AGGGCACCACCAGGAGUGGAGCCUGCGGCUUAAUUUGACUCAACACGGGAAAACUCACCCGGCCCGGACACCGUAAGGAUUGACAGAUUGAGAGCUCUUUCUUGAUUCAGUGGGUGGUGGUGCAUGGCCGUUCUUAGUUGGUGGAGUGAUUUGUCUGGUUAAUUCCGAUAACGAACGAGACUCUAGCCUACUAAAUAGAUCGUCGGCUUACAAACGCCAGCGAGACUUCUUAGAGGGACAGGCGGUGAUUCAACCGCACGAAACAGAGCAAUAACAGGUCUGUGAUGCCCUUAGAUGUCCGGGGCCGCACGCGCGCUACACUGAAGUGAUCAGCGUGCUUUUUCAACCUACUCUGUCAAGAGUGGGGAACCCAAUGAACCUUCUUCGUGAUUGGGAUAGGGGAUUGUAAUUGUUCCCCUUGAACGAGGAAUUCCCAGUAAGCGCGAGUCAUAAGCUCGCGUUGAUUACGUCCCUGCCCUUUGUACACACCGCCCGUCGCUACUACCGAUUGAAUGUUUU
rnacentral:rRNA from 1 species